AAAAAUAUCCAAACAUAACUGAAA
rnacentral:snRNA from 1 species